rnacentral:ncRNA from 1 species
UCUCCGGAGAAGUCCAACACUGGAUGCCGAAGGGGCAAGGGUAUCUUCCAUACUCCAAUCUCUCAGGCAAAAGGACGGAGUUG